rnacentral:rRNA from 1 species
GUUUGGCACCUCGAUGUCGGCUCAUCGCAUCCUGGGGCUGAAGGCGGUCCCAAGGGUUAGGCUGUUCGCCUAUUAAAGCGGUACGCGAGCUGGGUUCAGACCGGCGUGAGCCAGGUCGGUCCCUAUCUGCUGUGGGCGUUGCAAACUUGAGAGGAGUCAACUUUAGUACGAGAGGAUUAGGUUGGACUGACCCCUGGUGAUCCUGUUGCGCCGCUAGGUGCAUCGCAGGGUAGCUACGUCGGGCAGGGAUAACAGCUGAAAGCAUCUAAGCAGGAAGCCCCCCUCGAGAUCAGGUUUGCUUGUCUUGUACGAGAGACCCCUGGGAGACUACCAGGUUGAUAGGCCGC